AGUAAGUUAGGUUAAGUAUAGACUGUUCGUUUUCAAAACGGGAGGUGGUUUUUUGGCCAUUUAUUG
rnacentral:tRNA from 1 species